rnacentral:rRNA from 1 species
GAUGAACGCUGGCGGCGUGCCUAAUACAUGCAAGUCGAGCGAACAGACGAGGAGCUUGCUCCUCUGACGUUAGCGGCGGACGGGUUAGUAACACGUGGAUAACCUACCUAUAAGACUGGGCUAACUUCGGGAAACCGGAGCUAAUACCGGAUAAUAUAUUGAACCGCAUGGUUCAAUAGUGAAAGACGGUUUUGCUGUCACUUAUAGAUGGAUCCGCGCCGCAUUAGCUAGUUGGUAAGGUAACGGCUUACCAAGGCAACGAUGCGUAGCCGACCUGAGAGGGUGAUCGGCCACACUGGAACUGAGACACGGUCCAGACUCCUACGGGAGGCAGCAGUAGGGAAUCUUCCGCAAUGGGCGAAAGCCUGACGGAGCAACGCCGCGUGAGUGAUGAAGGUCUUCGGAUCGUAAAACUCUGUUAUUAGGGAAGAACAAAUGUGUAAGUAACUAUGCACGUCUUGACGGUACCUAAUCAGAAAGCCACGGCUAACUACGUG